UCUUCUUAUCAGGGUCUGUCACCUGAGGAAGCAGCUCCUGUGACCCACCCUCCCUCACAAGUGUGACGUAGGAAAGAGGAGGAGAGACAAAAAUUAUGUUGAAACAGUUUUUGGCAUCAGUAACACAUUGGUCACAAGAGGUUUCCAACACAUACACAACAACAGUGCAGCAUGUGUGUAAUCUACUGCUACGAGUGGCUGUUGGUUGAAGAAUUCGUUCCAAAUCAUGUAGCAAAUUCCUCGUGCAGCUUAUGCAUUGGCUCCUCCACUGACUACACCUGCAAACCAGGUUCUUCGCUGCAUGGACCUGACUGAAGGGAUGCACAUUCCCCCAGACCUUGUCAAGAUCAUGUAUGAAUAUACUGAACAGCACUGGGCCCAGAACAGACUCCUGGUUAUCCUGCUCUCUGAUGUGAUCUGAUGGUCUGUAGUAGAUGCCAGCUGGUACCCAAUCUUGUGCUUUAUCGGUUAGGACAUUGAUGCAUCAGCAUUCUAGAUAAUUUUCUUCUGAGUUAUCAGUGACAUGGAAAAAGGUAAUGUCAUUUUUGACAAUGUUCCACUCCCCCUCCCCUUUUGCCCAAUCAAUCCUUCCUAAAUAGGUGAUAGCCAUUGAUUUUAACAUUCCAUUCAUGGGAAUCAUCCCACCAAGUUUCAGUAACACCAACUAGAUCAAAUGUAUGUUCAUAAAUGGGCAAUUCUAAUUCCUCUUGUUUGUUACCCAGGCUCCUAGCAGUGGUGUAUAAGCAAAUCAAGAAUUUCUUCUCUUCAUGUCCUUCAGUUCCUUGAUUUUUAUUCUCAACAUCUUGAUUUUAGGCUGAGUGCUCAAACCUUCCCCCUCUUUACUCAGGUCCCUUCAGUUUAUCCUCUCCAGCUGAGUACGGUGCUUCUCAGGGGCUCCGUGUGCUCCUACCAGAGCUGGAGAGAAUGGGGAGUAGUUUCUGGGCUGGGUGUUCUUACGCCUGUCCUCUUUCCAGAGCUGCAUCAGCCUUCUUUAAUGACUGUGCACCCAGACUGCACGUGCAAUUAGGAAAGAUUCAAUGCAGUGAUUUCCAACUAUCAGCAGGAU